rnacentral:rRNA from 1 species
GACGGAGGAUGCAAGUGUUAUCCGGAAUCACUGGGCGUAAAGCGUCUGUAGGUGGUUUAAAAAAGUCCACUGUUAAAAAUUGAAGCUUAACUUCAAAGAUGCCGUGGAAACUUUUAAACUUGAGUAUGGUAGGGGUAGAGGGAAUUUCCAGUGGAGCGGUGAAAUGCGUAGAUAUUGGAAAGACCACCAAUGGCGAAGGCACUCUACUGGGCCAUUACUGACACUGAGAGACGAAAGCUAGGGGAGCAAAUGGG